UUAGUAGUACUAAAUAGGCGAAGGCGUAUUUAAUUAACUAUAUAUUGGAGAAGUUGGAGGAAAGUAUGGGUAAUCAUGAGAUUCUUUGCAGUUUGUCAUGGCUAAUGUAGCAGCUUAAAAUUAACCAACUGUCAAUAUUUUAAAGGUAUAUUAUUUAAAUGAUAGAGGUCUGCAUGAUUUUGAAAAAAGAAUGAUUAUUAGCAAAUUAUUGGGAGGGCUGCAGCACCCCCACCAGUCCCCCUCCGUUGCUACGGCCCCGAGAAGUAAUAAACCUAAUAACACCGAUUUACGAUUUGUUAAAUGUUAUUCCAUGUAAAUACUAUGAUUUCGUAAAUCAGUUUAUGCUGAGAAUACAAUUAAUAAUUAUAUUAUAUUUUCUCUGUUUAACAACUAAAAUUUUGUUAUACUGAUUAUUGCCGUAAUUUUCCGAAUGGCCAAACUGAUUUUCCGAAUAUGUUAAUUCGAAAAAAGUUGGGGGUUAUAACCCCCCCCCCCAAAAAAAAAACCAACAAAAAAACCCUCGCUACGGCCCUGACUAUGUCAUAAAACUAUCUACAGUGUACUUGUAUAGACUAUUCAACUAAUAUAAAAAAUGUACUCUCAAUUGAUGAUCUUGAGUUUUGCUUUAAAACUAUUAACACUUUCUGAAUUUUUUAUUUGACUUGGUAGACUCCAGGCCACUGUAAAUAUUCCAGCUAAAUGCCUUUUUCAGGUAGUUUGUUUUAGCCUUCGGUGGUAGGAAAUCAUGUUUGGCUUUUCUCGUUUGCUGUUCAUGGACCUCGUUCUUUUUUUGGACCAUAUUAAUUCAGUAUUAGAAGACGAAAUUCCGUCUAAGACGGGAAACUCGUGUGACGGAUUUCCGUCUGAUAUAAGUAUGAAACGAAAACCAUCGGACGCGGAUAAACCCGAAAAAAUAGGAGACCCUCCAUCCCAGUCUCUCUUUUAGUGAACGUUACCAGCAGAAACCCGUCUUGAUUUAUUCGUCUGAUAUAAAUUUAAGACGGAUUUCCGUCUAAGACGAGAAACUGAUCGUCUAACUGUUCCGUCGUUCAGAAUUUAUAUCAAGACGAGUUUCUCGUCUGAGAUGAGUUUUCCGUCUUAGACGGAAAUCCGUCUUCUAAUAUGAAUGACAUGCAUCGAUCAUGUGAUGCUGGGUGUAACUCUUCCUGCUUUCCGUCGUAACUUUUCGAUGCGGCGAACAUAAUCAAAUUAAAUGCGGCAUACGUUUUUACAGAUACAGUGCCAUGCAGAAUUUUCAGUACUAAAUUGCUAUUAUAUCAUAUUAUGUUGAACCUGUAAGGCAUAAUGACAUGACAGUUGCCGUAUUUUGUCCCGUAUUGAACCUGAUCAAAACUUGCCGAUUUAGAUGGCCGCUCUCCUGUCGUACUUAUUAUCGUUGUAUCAGGUUCGGCGCAUGAACAUUUCGCCGUCCUAUUCCGGGCCUAAUAUUAACGAAAAUGUUGUCCAUGAACGAGUCGGAGCGAUUAAUCCACCAUAUCGAUAACUUAGCAGUUAACAGACAGCGGUAAAAUGUUAUUUAUUUUUUAAAUACAAUAAAGAAAUAUAUAUGCCGUAUAUAUAUCGUUUUCGAGUUUUCGGGCGGUAUAGGGAUAAUACAUUACAGUAGUCAGAUAGGAAGAACGUAGCUAUAGUCUAAUAGUAUAGAAUUCAACCGACGCGGUUCAAUAUUGAAACUGCUUACGCCAAACUAAUUUCGUUUCCAAAACUCAAAAGUAUGCAUGGGUUCUUUAUAUGUCUUACCGUCGAAUAUCGGCAAUGUCAUUGGCGAUCAGAAAUGCUUUACAUCCAGUUUUUAUAUGUACUUUUUAUAAAUUAUUCGAUAUAGAU